rnacentral:rRNA from 1 species
UACGUAGGGGGCUAGCGUUGUCCGGAUUUAUUGGGCGUAAAGAGCGUGUAGGCGGCCAGGUAGGUCUGGUGUGAAAACUCGAGGCUUAACCUCGAGAUGUCAUCGGAAACCAUCUGGCUAGAGUCCGGAAGAGGAGAGUGUAAUUCCUGGUGUAGCGGUGAAAUGCGCAGAUAUCAGGAAGAACACCCGUGGCUAAGGCGGCUCUCUAGUACGGUACUGACGCUGAGACGCGAAAGCGUGGGGAGCGAACAGG